rnacentral:rRNA from 1 species
UAGGGAAUCUUCCACAAUGGACGCAAGUCUGAUGGAGCAACGCCGCGUGAGUGAAGAAGAUCUUCGGAUCGUAAAACUCUGUUGUUAGAGAAGAACACGAGUGAGAGUAACUGUUCAUUCGAUGGCGGUAUCUAACCAGCAAGUCACGGCUAACUACGUGCCAG